UUAACAGUUAUGAGGGAGAGAAAAAUACCGGAUCUUUGAUUACAGAGAGCUGACGUGAGCUGAGAGUCAGUAUCGAAGUGGUAUAGAAUAAUCACUCCUGAACUGCCGAAUCGAAAAGAUUGCUUAGUAGAUAAGGCCGGAUUCUAUCAUGAUAGAAGUGCCACCGUUAUAUGGCUAAGGUUAAAAGGAGUUUUCCUUCGACCUGAUGAGGCGGUUUAUGUGAGUAAAUCGUAAACAAGGGUGGUACCACGGGUAAUCAAUCUCCCGUCCCUAGG
rnacentral:ncRNA from 1 species